rnacentral:rRNA from 1 species
GUCCAUGCCGUAAACGUUGGGCGCUAGGUGUGGGGCUCAUUCCACGAGCUCCGUGCCGCAGCAAACGCAUUAAGCGCCCCGCCUGGGGAGUACGGCCGCAAGGCUAAAACUCAAAGGAAUUGACGGGGCCCCCGCACAAGCGGCGGAGCAUGCGGAUUAAUUCGAUGCAACGCGAAGAACCUUACCAAGGCUUGACAUGCAGGGAAAACUCACAGAGAUGUGAGGUCCGCAAGGGUCCUGCGCAGGUGGUGCAUGGUUGUCGU